rnacentral:lncRNA from 1 species
AUGCAAGGGCAAAGAAGAACCAACACAAUUGCAUUGGUAGCAAGGGUAAAAUUCAAGAUACAAGGUUCAAGAUCAGGUGUUCUGGUGAAGAUAAGUUUUUGCUCAGAAGCAUUGAGGCUACAGAUGAGAUCAAAUGAAGGAUCAACAUCCGCCUUCUUUCUAAAAUUCGUUGUUUUCUACAAGUUAGUUAAGUAUCACACCUCUUCGAAUUGAGCUACUGGAUGCCCUGGUGGAGCUCCCUGCAGUUGUGGCAUUUGAACACUGAGUGGCACUAAAGCCCACGGCACCGGCAAUGCAAGGUAUCCAAAAUAGGUCUUUAACGCAGGAGGAUGCAAACGACUAGGUAACUGCUGAAAAUGCUGGAUUUUUGUAUGACAGGAGAGGGAGGUUUUAUAGAUGCAAACUUGUAACAGGCACAUCCUGCAUAUCUUACACAUGUUGUCUCCCAAGCUACUUUUGAGGAGGAAUUUAUCUUAAGCUUUACUAAGGGAUCAUUCUGGAUCUGCUGAAGAAUUCUUCUGACUAUAUUUUUUUAAUAUUUGUUGACCUUAAUUCUUAGGUUCAAGCAGGUGCAGUAUAUUAAAAACAAGCCAUUCUUCUGGAAGUCCUGUAUAAAUUUGAUAUUCAAAUACAAUUUCUUAGUUUGUUUAGCUCAGAGAAUGCAUGGAGAAAAUCCUAAUGCUGUAAAUACUCUUGAACAACCAUGAUGUUAUUUUUAAAAAUUAUUUGUGAUCAACAAUUCAGAUUUUGCAAUACCCCAUGGUUCUGGGGAAAUUUUGUAUUAUUUAAAGUUAUCUGAGGCCCAGCUCCUGUCUGCUUAAAAGGUAUAGAUUGAUCAAAGGCUUUUAAUCUUCCUUCAAAAAUAAAUAGCUCUUGCUUUUAUUGUAGGAACCCUGU